UACGUAGGGGGCAAGCGUUAUCCGGAUUUACUGGGUUUAAAGGGUGCGUAGGCGGUCGGAUAAGUUAGAGGUGAAAUCCCGAGGCUCAACUUCGGAAUUGCCUCUGAUACUGUUCGGCUAGAGAGUAGUUGCGGUAGGCGGAAUGUAUGGUGUAGCGGUGAAAUGCAUAGAUAUCGCGCAGAACUCCGAUUGCGAAGGCAGCAUGCCGGCUCCACACUGACGCUGAGGCACGAAAGCGUGGGUAUCGAACAGG
rnacentral:rRNA from 1 species